rnacentral:lncRNA from 1 species
AAUAACUUCCUCAAACAGAGGGAACAUGAAGUUUUUAUUCAAAGGGUCUAUGUGUACAACUCGAUUCAUUCCUGAGCAUGCCCAAUUUAAGAUCAUGGAGAUUAAAGUGAUAAACAGGAAGGCUUCUGGACAUGGUCAGCUAGUAACAUAAAGUUUUAACUGACAACAAAUGAAAGGACACUUCCAAGGUCCAUUGUCUCAGGAAUCUGCCCCUGCAGGUGCCUGCUUUACUUACUGGCUAGUGGUAGAAAUCUUGGAAAUUGUACAAGAAUUUUCUUGUUCUCACAAAAUGUUUGAGCAAACAUGCUAAUGAAGAAAAUAUUUAUUUUGGCUUAGUUUCAGUGUAACACCAUGCCAGCCAGGAAGGUGGUGGGAGAAAGAGAAAAAGAAAAAGAGAUAGAUAGAUUGAUAGAUAGAUAGAUAGAUAGAUAGAUAGAUAUAGAUAGAUGAUAGUUAAAUAGAUAUAUAGAUAUAUAGAUAUAGAUAUAGAUAGAUAGAUAGAUAGAUAGAUAGAUAGAUAGAUAGAUAGAUAGGCAGACAGACAGAAAGAUAGAUCAUAGAUAGAUAGAUAAUAGAUGAAUAGACGGGUAUUACCUACAUAGUGGUCUCUCACCGUUUCUUCCUUUAUUCUGUCCUGAAUCUUAGUCUACUCAGUAGAGUCACAAACCCUAUUUUCAAUAUACUCAUGCUGACAAUACUAAACAUCACAGAAUGUAGCAUAAAUAUAAGGAUUUCAUCUCUUUCAAUGACAAGAAAAGAGACUUUAAUCUCUAAAUAUUUUCUUUACUCUAGGGCUUAAUAAAACAAUCAUCAUUAUAAAGAAUUUAUUUCUACUGCCAUACUAUAAACAAUUUAUAACCAUUAGCUCAUCAUAUCUACAAUAAUUUUGAGUGGAAAGUAAAAUAUCUUCUCUGCGGAAUAAAUUUUUCUGUUUGCUCCUUGACCCUUGGCAGGGUAAAUGAUAAUAAAAAGGCCAAAACAGUAGUAGUUUGUUUAUGUUUCCUUAUGAAAAAUAACAUGUCAAAAAUAGCUUAUAAAUAAUGUUGCCCAAAAUAGACCAAUCUAGAAUGCACUAGCCACAGCCAUAUUUUACUGUUUGUUCUUUUCCUUUUACAUGAAGGACAAUGAAAAAAAGGUGCAGACACUAACUAAGGUGAUGUCCCCAAUGUCUUCAGAAUUGGAUGUCAAAUCACUAGGGAGAAACAUUAAUUGAAGUCCAGUCCUGAGGAAACACCCCAAAUCACCAUUCUGAGUGUUUUGGGGGACAUGAAGUGUUUUGUGAGACAGAAGGUGUUAGAGUGAGAUAGGGCCCUCCUUGUGUCCCCACCUCCCAAGUUGGGUGGGUUUUCCUCUUCUGAGUGCCAUCUUCUCUUUGAGAAAGAUGAUCUAGUUCUUCACUUCCUGAAGGCAGGAUGUGGAUUUUUUUUUCAGGUGAACACUUUACAUUUGACCAUCUCACUUUUGAUUUCCUGAACAAGAGGUAGGUGGGGGCACUGUACAGAGUAUAUUCUGAAAACAUAUUUAUUAAAAUUAGGUAAAAAUGCUAGUUUCCAUUUGUCCCAUCCUUUCCUCACAGCAGACCAUUCAGUCUUUUUCUCCGUGAGCUGGGACAGCAUAUCUCUUCUAGCUGAUUCCUUCUGACUGGAAUAUUUGGUGGAACCAGAGAGUCUUUUUAUGAAAACUCUUGAUAUAAUGAAGUAUGUGCAGGACAGAGGGUAAACCAAAGAGGGAGCAGGAAUGUUUUUCCCAGUGGGAACAUAAAAAAGGUCUUCUUAAGGGUAAGUCAUGAAAACCAAAGGGAAGCCUUCAAUUCAGUACAAAGAACUCGAGAAUGGUGGAGAGGCCUGUGAGAUGAUGGGAGAAAGGAUGAGGUCCAAAUGAUUCCUUCUUAUGCCAACAUACACAGAGGUCUCCCAGACCAGUGCACUGGGAUGGGUCAUUCAUGAAUCUCAGAGCUGCUCUAUCUAAUGAAGUUGGAGGCUUCAGUCUCUACUCUCGCUCCUCUAUUCUCUUCACCAACUCUUCCUUCUUAUUGUUUUAUUAUACACAUGGAGGGCUAGGAGUAAACCUUGCUGGUAGAAUGCUUGCUAAGCAUAUUUAAAGCCCUUUGUUCAAUCCUCCAAACUACACAACAAACAGGAGAAAAAACAAAACAGGAGAAAAAAAAAGGGGGAUCUACAGGAAGAAAAUAAAGAAAGUUGAAAAUGAGAGGAAAUACAUAAAUAUUUCCACAUAUAUAUAUAUGACAUGAAAGGAAAUUAAC